rnacentral:pre_miRNA from 1 species
GGGGGCCGAUACACUGUCCGAGAGUGAGUAGCAGGUCUCACAGUGAACCGGUCUCUUU